GAUCCUACGGGAGGCAGCAGUAGGGAAUAUUGGUCAAUGGACGAAAGUCUGAACCAGCCAUGCCGCGUGCAGGAGGAAGGCGCUCUGCGUUGUAAACUGCUUUUGUACGGGAAGAAUACUCCGUUUGCGAACGGAUUUGACGGUACCGUAAGAAUAAGGAUCGGCUAACUACGUGCCAGCAGCCGCGGUAAUACGUAGGAUCCAAGCGUUGUCCGGAUUUAUUGGGUUUAAAGGGUGCGCAGGCGGCCUGAUAAGUCAGUGGUGAAAGCCCGUUGCUUAACAACGGAAUUGCCAUUGAUACUGUCGGGCUUGAGUACAGUUGAGGUUGGCGGAAUGUAUCAUGUAGCGGUGAAAUGCUUAGAUAUGAUACAGAACACCGAUUGCGAAGGCAGCUGACUAAGCUGUUACUGACGCUCAGGCACGAAAGCGUGGGGAUCAAACAGGAUUAGAUACCCUGGUAGUCCACGCUGUAAACGUUGAUAACUCGAUGUUGGCGAUAUACAGUCAGCGUCUUAGCGAAAGCGUUAAGUUAUCCACCUGGGGAGUACGCCGGCAACGGUGAAACUCAAAGGAAUUGACGGAAUC
rnacentral:rRNA from 1 species